UCCCGGGGCAGACACUGGCCGAGCCCGGAGCCUCUUCGCGUCCCCUCCCACCCAGACCAGGCCGGCGUUUCCCCCGGGCCCCCGCGCGGCUCCGGCCCGCGGAAGUCGCGCGUUCUUUCUUUCCCCCUCGUUAGUCGAGCUGAAACCUGAUCGUGGAAAGUCUGGGGCGGGUGUCAGACCCGGCCAGCUCUGGCUCCCAGCGCCUGGGGCGAUUCCUGCUGGAGGAACCCGGGCGGGGCCCGCCAAGGGGGCAGGAGGUCGGACACCUCGGGAACAGGCCUCUUUGUCUCUGUGCGGGCUUGGUGUACAGUUGAUGUCUAGAAUAUAUUAACAGAAGGCUGCCCUGUAGAAGUUUUGAGUUAAUGGUUUCCAUCAACGCAGGAGUGGAAGAAGCUACUGGGGAUCAGGAAUCAGAAGUCCUGGCUUUAAGCCCUAGCUUUAGCCCUCACUGGAAUUACAGGAAUUACACCCCCC
rnacentral:lncRNA from 10 species